GUUAGGAAUAUUGGACAAUGGGCGAAAGCCUGAUCCAGCCAUGCCGCGUGAGCGAUGAAGGCCUUCGGGUUGUAAAGUUCUUUAGCCGAUGAUUAUAAUGACUGUAGUCGGAAAAUAAGCCCCGGCUAACUUCGUGCCAGCAGCCGCGGUAAUACGAAGGGGGCGAGCGUUAUUCGGAAUCACUGGGCGUAAAGCGUGCGUAGGCGGUUUUGUAAGUUAGGAGUGAAAGCCCAGGGCUCAACCUUGGAAUUGCUCUUAAAACUGCAAGGCUCGAAUCUCGGAGAGGAUAGCGGAAUUUCCAGUGUAGCAGUGAAAUGCGUAGAUAUUGGAAGGAACACCAGUGGCGUAAGCGGCUAUCUGGACGAGUAUUGACGCUGAGGCACGAAAGCGUGGGGAUCAAACAGGAUUAGAAACCCGUGUAGUCC
rnacentral:rRNA from 1 species